rnacentral:rRNA from 1 species
GACGAACGCUGGCGGCGUGCUUAACACAUGCAAGUCGAACGGAAAGGCCCUGCUUUUGUGGGUUGCUCGUUUGGCGAACGGGUGAGUAACACGUGAGUAACCUGCCCUUGACUUUGUGAUAACUUCAGGAGACUGGGGCUAAUACCGGGUAGGAUCUCUUGCUGCAUGUUGGGGGUUGGAAAGAUUCGGCUGUUGUGUAUGGACUCGCUGCUUAUCAGCUUGUUUGUGGGGUAGUUGCUUACCAAGGCUUUGACGGGUAGCCGGCAUGAGAGCGUGACCGGCGACAUUGGGCCUGCGAUACGGACCAGUAUCGUACCGGCGGCAGCAGUGGGGAAUCUUGCACAAUGACCGGGAGCGAGAUACAGCAACGCUGCGUUCGGAAUGACGGGUUACGGGUUGAAAACCGAUUUGGAAGGUGCCAAAGAGUGAGUGACGGUAAUGGGUCAAGAAGCACCGGCUAACUACGUG